rnacentral:lncRNA from 1 species
UGUAGUUUAAAAAUGAAGUGAAAUUUGUAGUGGCCUGUAUGUGUUCAGAGUAGUGCUUUCAGCUGGGCCUCAUUAGGCCUCGUCAGGCCACACACCCCAGUUCCUAAGCACAUCCUCCUGGUACCCUCAGCAUAUGUUUUAUUUGAGGCUACAGCAAGCAACAAAGCCAACACUGAACUCAGGCAGGAGUGUGGAAGGGACCUGAGUGUUGCUUUCACUGGGGACCUGAGUCACCGUGGUGGUGGCGGCAGGGACAUCACAUCUGAGCUGUGUUGGGCUGUAUAAACAAUCAUCCUCUUGGCUUACGCUGUAAUUACAUCUCCUUGGACACUCAUUAGUGUGGUGGAUCUGCACUUCAAUAAUAACAAUAACGGUGUGAGAAGAUGUGAUUAAUAAAAGCAAGACCCUUAUGAUGCCAGCAGCUCUUACCCAUUUUUCAUAUGAGAAGAUGUGAGACAUGGGACACAGAAGAUGCAAGUGCAGAUACUUGGUGGUAUGAAUGCUAUGGAACUACGCUGCUCACUCGAUGCUGGGUGCUUUUCCAAAACGAGGAACUGAUUUGCUUCAGAACUCAUCUCCUUUCAGCAGAAACAGAGGAAGACAGUUGCUUUAAGGUCCAUACAUUGCUUGAAGAGAUGGGAGAAUAUGGUUCUGUUGCCCAGGUUUGUCAUGGAUACUGCAGAAGUCAUUCCAUCAGUUUUAUCUUCUUGUUACCCAAUUGUUUGCCUCAUUAUGAGGGCCAUGGCAUGAAUGUUUGAUAUAUUCGUGGUAAUUAGGACACUUACUGUUCUGAAGAGCCAGCAGUUCACAAUAUGGAAAACAUUUACAACACUUGCAUUUUGCAUUGCUUGCUUCAUUCGGUGGCCGUAAAUGGCAAAAGUUGUGGUCCUACUCUAAAUAUAAGAUAAUCAUAACAUUUUUUGCCUUUGUCAUUGAAAUCCCCAAAUGUACAAAUAAUGUCAGCAAUACUUAAGAAAUAUGUUCAAAUAAAUCAGAAAUCA